CUAAGCCAAGAACAAUACUUUCUCUUGCAUUUGUGGAGUCCCAUAUCCAGCCUUUUUUGAAGGAUGUUGGAAACUACAGAUUGAUUUGUUUCACCUUACUAGGAAGUGAACACUUCGCACAGGAAAGGGAGGGACUCCGUAGAGCAAGCCCGCUGUGAAGGUUGUACAGCCUUUACUCGUUUAAUGCCAAUACACGCUUAUAUUAAAUAACCGUAUUUAAACAAUAGGUUACGUUUCCGACAAUAGGCAACUGAGCAUGAGAAACAAUGUUUCAGUUUAAACAAAGUAUUUAAGUUAGCCUAGGUGUUACAAGAGCUAGCAAAAUAUAAUCAACGCACGACGAGUGUUCGUGAACUUUGUCUUCUUUCACCCCUCUUGCAAUGUCCACUACACUCUUAGCCAUGAACUGUAGGAAGGUGUUUCUAACGCUCGGCGGGGGACGCGGUGUGACAAACGCUGCGUUCGGAUCGCAUUUUGUUUCCGUCCCACGCCGUUCCAUAAUAGACCUCUCCUACUCCACCCACUUCAUGGAUUUUAAAGGUUCCUCGAUACCUAGCUCCAUGAAAAAGCUGGUCGUGACGAAGCUCAGCCAAAAUUUCAGGGAAGCUGUUUCCUUGCAAAUUGUUCCAGUGCCGACUCCGGGCGAUGGGGACUUGCUUAUUAGAAAUCGAUUUGUUGGCAUCAAUGCGUCUGAUAUCAAUUACACAGCCGGUCGCUAUGACCCCUCAGUCAAGCCACCUUUUGACGCAGGGUUCGAGGGCAUCGGGGAGGUCGUCGGCCUGGGCCUGAGCGCCAGCGCCCGCUUCACGGUGGGCGACGCCGUGGCCUACUUCGGCAGCGGGUCGUUCGCCGAGUACACGGUGGUGCCCGCCAAAGCGAUCGUCCGCGUGCCGUCGGUCAAGCCGCAGUUCCUCACGCUCCUGGUGAGCGGCGCCACGGCCUACAUCGCCCUGAAGAGGCUGGGCGACCUGGCGGAGGGCCAGACCGUCCUGGUGACGGCGGCGGCGGGCGGCACCGGCCAGUUCGCCGUCCAGUUCGCCAAGAUGGCCAAGUGCCACGUGGUGGGCACGUGCUCCUCGGACGAGAAGUCCGGCUUCCUGAAGACCAUCGGCUGCGACCGGCCCAUCAACUACAGGAGCGAGGACCUGGCCGGGGUCCUGCAGCGGGAGUACCCGCGGGGGCUGGACGUCGUCUACGAGUCGGUCGGGGGCAGCGUCUUCGAUCUGGCCGUCAACCGCCUGGCCCAGAAGGGUCGGCUGAUCGUCAUCGGCUUCAUCUCGGGGUACCAGACGGCCUCCGGGGUCCAGCCGGUGAAGGCCGGGACGCUGCCCAUCAAGCUGCUGCAGAGGUCGGCCAGCGUGCGCGGCUUCUUCCUCCCGCACUUCCUGUCGGACUACGGGGAGGCCAUGGCGGACAUGCUGCGAAUGUGCGAGAGCGGGGAGCUGGUGUGUGAGGUGGACGUGGGGGAGAUGACUCCGGAGGGGCGCUUUGUGGGGCUGGAGUCGGUUUACCGGGCCGUUGACCACAUGUACGCAGCAUCCAGUGUCUUUCUGCAUAGAUCCCUCAGUCUGGGAGUGGCUGGACGGAGCGAAGGAUGGAGUCACGGUUCGGGCGUCCACCAGGCAAAGAUGUAGAAGCCCCGGCUCCCCUUGAGUGAUGGGCAGUUCCCCCCCAACCUCUGCGCCGCUGGAGUCCAUCUCCUUCCCCUCGGCAGAUGCCAUCGCGGCCAAGGACACGGGGCGUCAGCGACCGUCCGGGAGACCCCGUUCAUCAGGGCGUAUCGAAUGUUUAUAUGACCUUGUUAAGGCAUUCAGACUGCUGCCAAAUAACUGAGAGUCCAAGUACUGAAGCUAGGAGUAGUGUGGUACUGUGACCGUGGAAAAGAGAUUGCCGUCCAAAGUUUCAGGUAUGAUUCAUCCGUAGAGUCCUGUCAUUAUGCCCUUGAGUAUAGCACUUAAUCCUAAUAGCCCCAAUUUAUAUAUUGCUAUGUAUAUGGGUAAUAUGUAUAAAUAUAAGGAUAGGUGUUCCUACGAAGCAAAAAAUGUAAACUAAUAAUGUAGUAAUGAUGAACCUACUGUGAUGGAUCCCCUGGAUGCUUGGCUGUUGGAUUGUCAGAGAGAUUCUUGUCACUAGUCAGUUGUCAGUUCCUUUCUGCGAGGCAAAACUGAAGUUGCACAUCUGUCUCUUAGUUUUUAAAUUUAUCAAACAAGCAGUGUUCAUGCUGGCCACAUCAUGUAGUAGAAGCAGAGACCCCUGAGGUAUUUAAAAUGAGACUUGACAUAGUGUUAGAUGCUUUUCACAGCAGGUAAAAUGACAAGGCUAGAUGGGCUGAAUGGUGUUUUCAUCAUCAAGCAUAAUACAGUGCCCUCAAAAAGGAUUAACUCUCUUAAUAAAGAUGGAUAAACAUGGCUGUAUAAAAUAAACAAUAUUGGUAUUGAAAUAUAUAUGUUCACGAAAUGGAAAAAUUAUAUUAUUUUUUAUACAAGUACAAUUGCUCUGAGAAUCUACUGCAUUUACUGAUCCUAGGGCUCUUGUUCCGGUCAAAUGAGUCAUAAUCUUGCAAGAUUCAGGAGAUUUUGGCCUAUUAUUUGGUAAUAAGAAAGCUCAAACCUGGCCGCAAAUGGGUCUUUCAGUAAGACAGUGAUCUCAGACAUUCUUCAGACUCAACCAGGAAAUGGUUAACUCUCCACAAAAUUAUUUGUUCCACAAAAGCUCUUUAGCUCUUAGCAAUGGUAUUACAUUAAAAUGUAAAUUUUCAAAAUUGGUAUUGUUUGUUUUAUUUAACAUUCUUUAUCAAGGGUGCGAAUGAUUUUGGAGGGAAAUAUAUUAAGAAAUCUUGAGUAUUUUAUUUCUUUUCAUCAAUUUGAGGAACGCUAAUAAUCUGAAUAUAGUGACUGUCAAUCACCUGUUGAAAAGUAUGAAUUUUGUGUUCUACCAUACAUGUAAAUGGAAAUGAUUUGAUUUCCUGUUCAUGGUAAAGAUGUUUAUUUGUGUACAACUGAUAUCAAGUGACCAUUAUACAUGUUAAAUAAACUACCCUCAUGGAAGAUUAGACCUAAAAUGUCCAGUGACAGUCAACACCAAAUAAAUAAUAUUUGAAAAAUGUAAAAUGUUGAUUUAUUUUAUUUAUUUCUUUUUUAACCAAAUUUCAGGGCAGCAGCACUGUCUGUUACAGAGUCUGGACAACAGGAAAAUGGAUCCUGGAAGGAAGUUUGAACUGCUGUUGUACCCUUGAGUAAGGAUGUGGGCGGGAGUGGACGAGACGGAAUUAAUUGAGCGGGAGUUUAGCCGUCUGACGUGAGACGUCGGGAGCUUUCUCGGCCCGGGACGGAGACAGGUGAUUGGGCAACAUACGGAGCGCUUGGAGGGAGGUACGUGACAUCUGUCAGAAUGGGAGAAUAAAUGCGGACCCUCUCCGGCCCGGGGUCAGAUCUCCCGCCGCAGUCGCUAAAGUUGUCACGACGCCAUGACACUUCUUUGGCAAUGGUGGCCAAUUCCUCGACACGCAAACGUAAACGAACACAGAUUGUUGAAUAAACGGCUCUAAAAAAAGGGAUUAUUGUUUUUUUUUUUGUUUUUUUUUUUCACCCCCCUCCCCCAAGAGUCACCCCACCCGAAGAAGCGACAGUGGCUGUAGAGGAAACGUCAGGAUGCUGGAAGGUCAGGUGACAUGGCAAGGUCGAGAGCGAGAAAAAGUGCAAAAAGGAAAAAGCGCACACACAUAAAAUAAGAAAAAAAAUCAUUUGAAAUGUGACGCUUUGCCGUUUGUCCUUCCACCCCCCGUUGGUCGUGUCUCAUCACGGGAAAAGCAGAGUUAGGUCAAGAGCUCAGCAUUGUGUGAAUGUGUGAAUUCACAAGGAAUGAAACAAGGAUAGGCUGCUGUUUUCUGUUUGUGGGUUGUUGCAAACAUAUUCAUUCUUUUUGAAGAAAUCUUUUAAUUGAAUGUAGUUAAACGUGUGACCUCCAUGUAACAAUUUGUGCAUUAGAUCUUAUAGCCUAGGCCUACUAUUUGCCCAUGACUCGCUGCUAAUAGGCAUUUUGUAUUGGUUGUCAUUAAAAAUAUUCAAAGAGAAAUAUAUUUAGAUUAGGUUUGAGCGUUUAUUAAAAAUCUCAUUGCCUAGGAUUCACUGAAGAUAGACGACCCCAAACGAAAACAGUCUGAACGAAUCAGCCUAUCUAGGUCUGUUCUAAAUGAAAAGUGAACUGAAAGAGCUGCUGGCAUCACUGAACCAAUCGGUGAACAAACUAAAAGAACUAAAGGAACUAAUCAGUCAGCAAAUCGGAAGAACUUUUCAGUCAAAACGUUUGAAAAAAAGGGGAUGCAGUCUGUUUUGUCAAGAGCCUUAUUUCUGUAAUUUCAAUGUGUCGCUGGUGAACUUGUAAGCUACAAUGUGUGAAUAUAUUUUUUCUUUUAACAAAUGGAGACUAAACCGUGUCAAAGUAGGUAGAUGCAAAUGAGUGGGCCUAGGCCUAAUAAAUGUAUUAAUCAAUCA